GUAAAAUGUACACGGAUCAAAUCCAACCUCCCUUAUCACAUCCUCUCCCUUCCAAGCUAUGGUUACCACUCGUCUACUUUCAGGGGCUGGAACCCAGGAUCUUGAGCCUUGUAAAAACAAAUGCUCUACCAUUAAGUUACAGUCUCAAUAAGGCAAAGGUUGAGAAGAAUACAACCCAGGAGUUUGUAAAGGCCACGUGCUUCCUGGUGAAAAAACACCCAAAACGGUAGAAGAUGAAUGUGAACACUGAGAAGCAGAAGUUGGUUGAUAACACUGGAUGGGAAUGAGAAGUGUGUGGGAGGCAGGCUGAGUGUGAGCUUCUUCCCGGGGGCUCUGCCAAUUGACGUCAGCCGUCGAAGCCUCCCCCAGAUCCUGCAGACCAGCUGGGCUGGCCAACUGUGCAGCCUUCAGGAGAGGCCUGGAAUGUUUGGCUGUGGCCACUGAGAGCAAACGGAGUUAGAAUCACAUACUGGCUUCAGCACUAACAGAAGCCAGGGACAGUAAACACCCAUGAGAGAAAGUGUUCUCUUGGAUUCAUUGUCAUCAGUCUUACAAGUCAGAAAAGUUCUUCAUUUUAAAUCCGGUUUA